rnacentral:rRNA from 1 species
GUUAGGAAUAUUGGACAAUGGGCGCAAGCCUGAUCCAGCCAUGCCGCGUGAACGAUGAAGGCCUUCGGGUUGUAAAGUUCUUUAGCCGAUGAUUAUAAUGACUGUAGUCGGAAAAUAAGCCCCGGCUAACUUCGUGCCAGCAGCCGCGGUAAUACGAAGGGGGCGAGCGUUAUUCGGAAUCACUGGGCGUAAAGCGUGCGUAGGCGGUUUUGUAAGUUAGGAGUGAAAGCCCAGGGCUCAACCUUGGAAUUGCUCUUAAAACUGCAAGGCUCGAAUCUCGGAGAGGAUAGCGGAAUUUCCAGUGUAGCAGUGAAAUGCGUAGAUAUUGGAAGGAACACCAGUGGCGUAAGCGGCUAUCUGGACGAGUAUUGACGCUGAGGCACGAAAGCGUGGGGAUCAAACAGGAUUAGAUACCCCUGUAGUCC